rnacentral:rRNA from 1 species
UGGGGAAUUUUGGACAAUGGGCGAAAGCCUGAUCCAGCAAUGCCGCGUGCAGGAUGAAGGCCUUCGGGUUGUAAACUGCUUUUGUACGGAACGAAAAGCUUUGGGUUAAUACCCUGGAGUCAUGACGGUACCGUAAGAAUAAGCACCGGCUAACUACGUGCCAGCAGCCGCGGUAAUACGUAGGGUGCAAGCGUUAAUCGGAAUUACUGGGCGUAAAGCGUGCGCAGGCGGUUUUGUAAGACAGAGGUGAAAUCCCCGGGCUCAACCUGGGAACUGCCUUUGUGACUGCAAGGCUAGAGUACGGCAGAGGGGGAUGGAAUUCCGCGUGUAGCAGUGAAAUGCGUAGAUAUGCGGAGGAACACCGAUGGCGAAGGCAAUCCCCUGGGCCUGUACUGACGCUCAUGCACGAAAGCGUGGGGAGCAAACAGGAUUAGAUACCCUGGUAGUCCACGCCCUAAACGAUGUCAACUGG